rnacentral:lncRNA from 1 species
UUAACGUAAACACGUGCCUGCACAUCUACUACUGUGAGCGGUCGAAUGAUUGAAACAUGCGUUCGAUUUCAACAGCUUCAAGUUCAAAGUUGCAUAUAACAUUUCCAACCAGGAAACAUUGACUUAACCAGUUGAUACGUGUAUACAUUAUUGUAAACAACUUACUAUUGUGCUAUAUACAUAAACGUUUGUGGGAAUGGACUGCUUCACUUGUUUUGCACAGUUAAUACAGUUGCUGCACAGAGAGCAGUGUGUUUUUGUGAGGUCAGAUGUCAGUAGAAUGUAGGAAACAAAGGGGUACUUGUGUUACACAUAAGACCCAACACUCUAUUACAGUGUUUUCAAGUGUAUUCUAUAUCCAAGAGAAUGAUGUAUUGUUUGUAUUAUUGUAUGAUGGACAGAAAAGUAAUAAACAUCUAGUAAACUACCACUGAGUUAAGUCGUGUGGCCCUGCUAGAUUGGCGCCCAACGUAAAAAACGCGCCGUGGAUGUGGAAUGGUAGUGUAGAACGAUGGCAUGUGGUGUUGUGGAAGCGUGGUAGAUCUUUGUGUUGUGGAAGCAUGGUAGUCGUGGAUCGUGGUACUGUCGAAUCGUUAAUCGUGGUACUAUGGAAUCGUGGUGACGUGUGUAUUGUGGAAGUGUGGUGUACAAUAGUCGCUAGGAUCGUUUAGGCCUAAAAAAAAUUCUUUGUUUCCGGUAACAUGCUCAAAAAAAUUAGGGUAGGUAGGUCGGAAUUUUUUUUUUUUUGGAAAUUCUUUUUUAUUAAAGGAGACUUUUCGGAAAUUAUU